rnacentral:miRNA from 1 species
GAUGCCCAGUUCAAGUUGAAUUUCAGAUAAAAAAAAAAUAAUUUUUAGUAUAAAUAUGUUCCAGGUGACAUUUGGGACAUACUUAUACUAAAAAAUUAUUUACUGUUUCUUUUGAAAUUCAGAUUUAACUAGGAGUCCUUAUU